UACGGGGGGGGCAAGCGUUGUUCGGAAUUACUGGGCGUAAAGGGCACGUAGGCGGCUUGGCAAGUCAGGAGUGAAAGCCCUGGGCUCAACCCGGGAACUGCUUUUGAAACUGCCGAGCUAGAGUGCGGAAGGGGCAACUGGAAUUCCCAGUGUAGCGGUGAAAUGCGUAGAUAUUGGGAAGAACACCUGAGGCGAAGGCGGGUUGCUGGGCCGACACUGACGCUGAUGCGCGAAAGCCAGGGGAGCGAACGGG
rnacentral:rRNA from 1 species